CAGCAUCACCAUUCGUCCUGCAAACUUCUUUCCAACCGAAGUCCUCGACCCAUGUCGCCAUAUUAGCUGGCAAGAAGGUCCACUUCUCGGGUGCAUGUGUUAUCAGGUGACGCAUUCGCUUCAGUGGACCGUGCCGCCAUUGCUCGCCUCCCCAUCGUGCUCCUGCUUCCUGUCGUUCGUCUUUGAACUUCUUUCCCUCUGCGAUGCGUGUCUCCUCUGUGUAGUCAUUCUUCGAGUCAUCCGCAUCGAUCAGAUAAUCCAUGAGAAGAUGCACCUCGGCCCCCUUUGGGCCACUGUUUUCGUCUCCAGAAAGGGUAAAGUAUUUACGAAUAUCGUCCAACAUAUGACGCAGUUUGUCUGUUGAAACGUAAGGAGAAACUCCCUCGACAAUGAAUGCUGUGUUGACGUCAUGUCGAAUUCCAGGGCAUCUCAGUUUCUCCUCAAAACGAUCGCUCUCUAAGUCGCACGGAAUGAAGCGGAGCGUUCGAUAACCGUUGAGGAGGUCAUCCGCCUUGAGAGACCUUAGAAGUUGUCUACACUUGUGCCGCUGUACAUUGUGCAAAUCCAUUUCAAAAACACAGACGCCUUUGUGCUUUAUGAUUUCAGCG
rnacentral:lncRNA from 1 species